rnacentral:rRNA from 1 species
AGUCGAGCGAUGAAGCUUCCUUCGGGAAGUGGAUUAGCGGCGGACGGGUGAGUAACACGUGGGUAACCUGCCUCAAAGUGGGGGAUAGCCUUCCGAAAGGAAGAUUAAUACCGCAUAACAUAAGAGAAUCGCAUGAUUUUCUUAUCAAAGAUUUAUUGCUUUGAGAUGGACCCGCGGCGCAUUAGCUAGUUGGUAAGGUAACGGCUUACCAAGGCAACGAUGCGUAGCCGACCUGAGAGGGUGAUCGGCCACAUUGGAACUGAGACACGGUCCAGACUCCUACGGGAGGCAGCAGUGGGGAAUAUUGCGCAAUGGGGGAAACCCUGACGCAGCAACGCCGCGUGGGUGAUGAAGGUCUUCGGAUUGUAAAGCCCUGUUUUCUGGGACGAUAAUGACGGUACCAGAGGAGGAAGCCACGGCUAACUACGUGCCAGCAGCCGCGGUAAUACGUAGGUGGCGAGCGUUGUCCGGAUUUACUGGGCGUAAAGGGUGCGUAGGCGGAUGUUUAAGUGGGAUGUGAAAUCCCCGGGCUUAACCUGGGGGCUGCAUUCCAAACUGGAUAUCUAGAGUGCAGGAGAGGAAAGCGGAAUUCCUAGUGUAGCGGUGAAAUGCGUAGAGAUUAGGAAGAACACCAGUGGCGAAGGCGGCUUUCUGGACUGUAACUGACGCUGAGGCACGAAAGCGUGGGUAGCAAACAGGAUUAGAUACCCUGGUAGUCCACGCCGUAAACGAUGGAUACUAGGUGUAGGGGGUAUCAACUCCCCCUGUGCCGCAGUUAACACAAUAAGUAUCCCGCCU